AAGUCCCGUAACGAGCGCAACCCUUGUCAUUAGUUGCUACGAAAGGGCACUCUAAUGAGACUGCCGGUGACAAACCGGAGGAAGGUGGGGAUGACGUCAAGUCCUCAUGGCCCUUAUGGGUAGGGCUUCACACGUCAUACAAUGGUGCAUACAGAGGGCCGCCAACCCGCGAGGGGGAGCUAAUCCCAGAAAGUGCAUCGUAGUCCGGAUCGCAGUCUGCAACCCGACUGCGUGAAGUUGGAAUCGCUAGUAAUCGCGGAUCAGCAUGUUGCGGUGAAUACGUUCUCGGGCCUUGUACACACCGCCCGU
rnacentral:rRNA from 1 species